rnacentral:rRNA from 1 species
GAUGAACGCUGGCGGCGUGCCUAAUACAUGCAAGUCGAGCGAACAGACGAGGAGCUUGCUCCUCUGACGUUAGCGGCGGACGGGUGAGUAACACGUGGAUAACCUACCUAUAAGACUGGGAUAAAUUCGGGAAACCGGAGCUAAUACCGGAUAAUAUAUUGAACCGCAUGGUUCAAUAGUGAAAGACGGUUUUGCUGUCACUUAUAGAUGGAUCCGCGCCGCAUUAGCUAGUUGGUAAGGUAAAGGCUUACCAAGGCAACGAUGCGUAGCCGACCUGAGAGGGUGAUCGGCCACACUGGAACUGAGACACGGUCCAGACUCCUACGGGAGGCAGCAGUAGGGAAUCUUCCGCAAUGGGCGAAAGCCUGACGGAGCAACGCCGCGUGAGUGAUGAAGGUCUUCGGAUCGUAAAACUCUGUUAUUAGGGAAGAACAAAUGUGUAAGUAACUAUGCACGUCUUGACGGUACCUAAUCAGAAAGCCACGGCUAACUACGUG